CUCAUCAACAAUACUAGCAUGGUUAAAAAUAACAUUACGAAUAUCUGAAUAUACAGGACAGUUUAACAAAACACGUUUUUCAUCUUCAACGUCAUCAUUACAGUUAAAACAUAAUCUAUUUUCAAUAUCAAUAUUUUCAUAACGACCAGUUUCAAUUCUGAUGGGUGCUACACCACAUCUAAAUUUUGCUAAAGCACUCCUGUAUCUA
rnacentral:lncRNA from 1 species